rnacentral:rRNA from 1 species
UACAGAGGGUGCAAGCGUUAAUCGGAAUUACUGGGCGUAAAGCGUGCGCAGGCGGUUUUGUAAGUCAGAUGUGAAAUCCCCGGGCUUAACCUGGGAAUGGCAUUUGGGACUGCAAGGCUUGAGUGCGGCAGAGGAGACUAGAAUUCCUGGUGUAGCAGUGAAAUGCGUAGAUAUCAGGAGGAAUACCGAUGGCGAAGGCAGGUCCCUGGGCUGACACUGACGCUCAUGCACGAAAGCGUGGGGAGCAAACAGG